CUUUCUCUUGAUGUAUACCCACAUUAAAGUUGAUGUGGAAAUAUUCUCAUAGAUCAUUUCUUUUAUCCUCGAAUAAUAGAUGGUUUCUCCCUUCUCCACAUCCUUCUUCUAUAUUAUAAAGUUAGGACCUACUUUCUAGUGAUUUUCUUCUCUUUAUUUUUGAAUAAGUGUGCUCUUUCAUUUAUUUUUCCUCUCUGUCUCCUUUCAUUUUAUUUUUCUUUGGAUGAAGAUGAUAAUACAUUUUUGGCUGCUCUCCCUCCCAAAACUACGUGCCUUGGAAAAUAUUAAUAUGCUCCCUUUUACUGUUUGUUGUUGAACUUCUUCUUUUAUGGU
rnacentral:lncRNA from 1 species